UUUUUCCACUGGUCUUAUAGUUUUUGAACUUAAGUACUUAACUUAUUGCUGGAAGGUAGAUCGUCACUAGAUGGCAGUGCAGGAUCUACCAUUGUCAAUCAAUUGCAUAGUCAGUAGGUGUCAAAUGGCGUUACGGUAUUCACAACGUAAUGGAUAAUGGAAAUGUUUUUGUUUAUUAGAUAAUUUUCAUUCAAGAUGAAUGUUAAAAUCCACUUGAUUGCGACAGGACCAGGAUGUAAAUGGGACUAUGUCAUCACCUUUCAAAUUAUUAUUAGAGUACAAUCAAUUGAAUACCAUCAAUGAAUACCAUCAAUUUCCCAUAAGGAAAGGAGAAGAACCAUAGUCUGGCUUGUACCAAACUGGAUUGUACCAAACUGUGAAAGAAAUCAUGUGUCUGUUACUGAAACUGGCUCUCUCUGUUUGUGACAUCAGACCUUACAGUGUGUCACUCUGAAGCAGAGCUCCUGAAAUGAGAUUGAACGUUUUGAACCAUCUCAUGCCAAAGCUCAAGUUAAGCUCUGUUGGUUUUUCCUUCCUGUAAACCGAUGAUUACAACUAAUGAAAUGCAACUUAUUGUGUUGUUUGCAGAAGCAUUUAAAAGAGGUGGCUUUUUGGUUAGAGUUUCUUCGACAUCCGAUGCCAUGCAGAUCCUGCCGAGCGAUCUGAAUAUAUUUUAGCGCUCAGUCGGAACGGUGUUCACUUCCUCGACUAAUAGGCUAUAUCAAUUUGCAAAGUCAAAGCGAAAGAGGGUCUCCUUUUCAUGGAAUCAUCCGCAUCCAAUCAUAUCAAACGCACGAGACAUCCGCCUUGUCUGGCAACUUACCAUCCAGCUACGCAUCUUUCAACAGAGUGUUCAAGAGGAAAGUAAUUGACUAAAUGCCGACUCGAUGAUUUCCGUGCAAGAUGAGUGUGAAUCCAAGGAUAUUUGGUGAGCAGAAUGCAACGGACUAUGUUAUGUUUAACCAUUAGCUAAAUUCAAUGAAUACUGUCAAUUCCCCAGAACGAGAGGUUAAUAAUCAUACUGAAUCAAACGAGGUACAUAUUUGAACGAGAUUUUAAAAUGAUAACGAUUGGAAGCCCAUGAGGAAAUUUCGAAGAAUGGUACCUUCACGUUACCUUGAGGCGCUGAUUCGUCUCGAAGAUAAAAUGUAUAAAAAAUAAGUUAUUUUUAUAAAUUGAAGUGCAUAUCUGGGCUCCCUUCUUUUCUGUGGCCCCGUUUCCCCUUGACUCGUAAUAAGCCCGUAGGGGGUCAUGCCCCUACUGUGAUCAGCAGUAAAGG
rnacentral:lncRNA from 1 species